UGCAUUAUUCAUUUAUUUUACUUGUAGAUACCGUCGAAUUAUAAUAUAUUAAAUAAAUGCUCAUAUAACUUGCAAUGAGUUAUGUGCAUAUUUAUAUUACUGUCCAGUCAAAACAAAGACAACCUUAUAAGGUGUACUUUUCAACACACUAACCACAAGUGAUCGAUCAUGACCCAACAUAGAAAUGUCAAUCAAUUUCCUCAAAAAAAAAGGAAAAUAGAAUGUACAAAAUGUAUUUUAGAACAUUAUAUUAGGCAUUUGCAGCACGUAGCUGACAAGCAAAAUCAGGAGUCUAAAUAAAUAAAAUAUUUAUAUACGUACGGGCAUUCUGGCCCCUCUUCCCAGCACCCAGCAUAAAACGUCAGCCGGAACUGACAAGGACGUUUCCUAAAUGAUUCCUUCCUGGUUAUGUCAACAAGAAUUCACCGGUCUCCCUAAUUGCCAAGUAUUCAUCACACGUGCGUCCAUGCGACUAAACGUGACAGAUGGCGAACCAUUUAUGUACAAGGAGUUUAAUAGAAACAGGAAAAAAUAGGGAAAAAUAUAUCAUCGAAUUUGGUAAACUUAUGAGAUUUGCUUUAAAGUGUCCACCGAAAACAUAACGAUUCUCGUUAUUCGGUCUAGAAAGCGUAAUGCAUUUUUCUUGUUUAAUAUUGGGUAAGACUUAGGACAAAGAGGGAACAUGAAAUGAAAACGGAUGGCUAGCAAAGUGGAAAGAUUUUGGCCCAGUUGCCUGCCAGAAAAGCAAAAUGAAGCGAAUGUGGCGAUAGGAAGCUCCUAGAGAAGAUUGCUCCUGCUAGCAUUUAGAUAACUUGGCAAGUAUCCUAAAGCAAACAUUGAAUUAUGGGCAACGACUGCUUUUUGGUAAAACUGUCUAAGACCUUCGGACGAUUUAUCGCAAAAUGUAGGCAAUAUAUUUGCCAUUAUCCGAUGAGCAGCUGGCCAAAUGCAUUCCUUUAAGGGUGUCGGGAAAAUAUUGACAGCAUGCUUGACUUGGAAUAAUCUGUCUCGUGGGAGCAGGCACUCGACCACUCGACUUAUUUGAAUCCAAGUAAGCGGCUUAUCCGGAAAACACCAAAUGGGAUGAUGUACAGCCAAGUGGAGCUCAUAAACAUUGCGGGCGUCGCACCAAAUCCAUUUGCAACCUUGUUUACGCUGCGUAUAGGUAACAAAUCAACGGAGCGAGGAACACGGAGCAGUACAGAGUGCAACCGCAAGCAAAAUGCCUGAUUGGCAACAUAAAUCUGAGAGGACAGGCAGCUCCACAGCAGCAGCCACAACACCUGCCCGCCCCUUUUUCGUUCCGCCCCAAUCCCGCUUGAAAACCCGACAGUUGGGAUGGCCGCAAAAUAGUAUCCCCCAAAAAACAACAGGAAAGGAGGCCGGCAUCGCAUACCAAAGCAUGGAAUACCCUCCCAGAUACACGAUACGGUGAUGUGGUUUAUGCCAAACCAAAAAGUAUG